CUGUGUGCCUCAAUGACAUGGUUUGUCCAAUUUGUAUAUUAACUGAAGUAUAACCGUUGUCAUUUGUAGAAUAAAUUACUCCGUAAUAUCGUUUUAUGUUCAAUGUGAUAUCUCAGGUCGGUGUAUAUUAGUUUAUUAAUGUUUCAUUCACACAGGUAACUUAUCAUUGGAAGCAACUGAGCUGUGAUUAACGCUAUUUUCUAAUACCAUUUAUUUUGGCUUAAAGACGGAUUGUGACUAAAUAUCCCUGUGUUGUAAGCCUCUAAUUGUUCGCCUUUGUAAUGUGAUAGAAUGAUGAUGGAGAGUGUAGUGUCUAUAAAAGUUUGUAGAGAAAAAUAAAAGAGUAUUCUUUGUGGCAGAGAACGUGGGCUGUAUUUUCUGUAACAUACCUACCUUCAUAUUAAGCUCUCUAUUAUAGAUGUAUAUAUAUAUAUAUAUACACACACACACAUCUACAUUAGCUAGAGAACUUAUUAUAUAUUUACAAAUAGAAAUAUAUACAUUUGCAUAGAUAGAU